AGAAAUUUAUAAUAAUUCAAAAACUACUACAUGACUACCCAAAAUCUGGUGUCAUAAUCCACGAACUUCUAAGAAUCACUACAAAUACUGGUUUUAAGAAAAUACAUCUAUUCUCAAAAUAAAAGAAAAAUGGGAAACUAGGAUAACUGGAAGGGGACUCUAGGGUCUGCGAAUGCCGGCAGAUCUAUAUUGGCUAUCAUGUGGACUGAAGGCACCAACCCAACCCUGGUCAAUGCAGUCCAGUACCAGAAUUUGCACAGAAAGUGCAGAGUGUAGUAUCAGUACAAACGACCACAUGUACUGAUAAGUGUUGAUCCUAACCUCGGUGAAGUAGUGACAAGGCUAGGACACGACAAUAACAUGAACCUGUACAUUUAAAUCAUAUACGAGAAGAUAACAACAAAUGAAAAUUUAGCAUAUAUUAAUGGGAAGGGGGAGAAACAUGCUCGGAGGAAUAUCAAUUCUUGAAAUAGUAUAGUAAAAAACGCAAUAAAUAACAUGCCUUACACCUAUGAAAGUAAUAACACAGCAAACAAGUGCAUGGCAUCACCUUUCGUGUUUUUACUCGCAUUCUAAUCAUAAAAAGCAACAGAAACGGCACAGCAUCACCCUUCGUACAUUAGCUCGCUCAUAACAUGGCACGGCAUCAACCUUCGUGCAUUAACUCUCUCAUAGAAUACGGCACAGCAUCACCCUUUGUGCAUUAUCACUCACAAAAUACGGCACAACAUCACCCUUCAUGCAUUAUCACUCACUCACAAUACAUUGCACGACAUCACCCUUCGUGAUUUACACUCUUCCUCACCCAAACAACAGAACAAUAAUAACCCGGCAAGGAAAUCAUCAAUAACCAACCUCGUUUCAAUAAUUAACUUCACAAUAUAAAUCUCAACUUAAGUCAAUAAUCAACCAAUAUCUAAUUCCAGGAAAAACAUGAUAAGAUUUGUUUAACAUGAAGAAUAUCCAGUUUAAGCAUGAACAGUACGAAUAAAGAAUACAACAGUCACAAGUAAUAGACUCACUCGCAUGCUAUGACUCGAUGACAACGUAUACGUACUCCUCACCUCACCUAUACGUCGUACUCAACAACCAAACACAUAGCAAAUAAGGCAACAACAUCUAAUCCCUCAAGCUAAGGUUAGCCACAACACUUACCUCGAUUCCACGGCCGAACUCAAGCCUCAAUCGCCGCUUUUCCCUUAGUUUCCACCUCCGAACCACUCGUAUCUAGUCAUAAUUAACUUAAUAAUAUCAAUUAUCGCUAAAGAAAUCAAUCCCAAUGCACAAUUACAAGUUUCCCAACAUUUUUCCCAAAAAAGUCAAAAAUCGACCCUAGGCCCGCUUGGUCAAAACUCGAGGUUCGAACCAAAACCCAUUCAUCCAUUCAUCCCCGAGCCCAAAUAUGUAAUUAGUUUCAAAAUCUGACCCCAAAUCGAGGUCUAAAUUUUAAUUAUACAAAACUCCCUAAUUCUACCCAAACCCCAAAUUUCUACCAUGAAAACUCUAGAUUUUAGGUUGAAAAUUGAUGAAAUGCAAUGGAUAAUUGAAAGAAAGUAGUUUAGAAUCAUUUACCAACACUUUGGAGAAGAAUUUGUCUCUUGAAAAUCACCUCUAAGCCUUCCAAUUUUUGAAAAUAUGGAAAAAUGGCCUAAUCCCGUUUUUUGUUCUGUUUUUAAAACACUGGACAGGUCUUCAUCGCGUUCGCGAUGGACCUGUCGUGUUCACGAUGCAUUGCGGCCAGAAGGGCCUUCGCAUUCAUGAACAACUGCUCGCAUUCGCAAUGGUCUAUCCCCCUGACCAUCACGUUCGCGGGCCUGGGACCGCGUUUGCGAAGAGCAACUCAAUGAUUCCCCAACCCACCUCCAUUUUACUCCACGCGUUCGUACGAUGCCGGUCGCGUUCGCGAAGAGCAGCCCCCCAGUGCUCCGCGUUCGCGACCAUGGCUACGUGCUCAUGAUGAACAAUCACCUCCCUAGCCCAGGUUACACUUCACGUUCGCGAGAGUAUCUUCGCGAACGCGAAGAAGAAAAACCAGAAACACUGACUGCAGCAAAACACACCAGAUUUCUAAGUGCAAAUCACCCCGUAGCCUAUCCGACUCACCGAACUCUUGGGGCUCAACACAAAACAUGCACACAAGUCUUAAAACAUCAUACAAACUUGCUCGCGUCAUCAAAUCGCCAAAAUAACAGCUAGAACGACGAAUUUAGCAAUCAAAUUGCAUGAAAUUUUCAAGAAAGUUCAAAAGUUUUAUUUUCUCAACAAAGGUCCAAAUCACGUCAAAUCAAUCCCGUUCCUCAUCAAAUUUCACAUAUAGGGUAUAAAUAUCAUAACGGACCUGUACCAGACUCCGAAAAUACAAUACAGACCCGAUAUCAACAAAAUCACUUAUUAAUCAAUUUCUUAAAACCUUUAUAAUUCCAAUUUAACAAUUAUCAUCACAAUUUUAUUUCUCAAGCUAGGGACCUCAGAAUUUAAUUUCGGGCAUACGUCUAGGUCUCAUAUUUUACUACGAAUCCUCCGGGACCGUCAGAACAUGAGUCCAUGUCCGUUUACUCAAAAUGUUGACCAAAGUCAACUAAACUUAACUUUUAAAGGCAAAAAUAAUAUUUUCCUCAAAUUUACAUAAAGGCUUUCCAGAAACGCGCCCGGACUGCGCCCACAAAUCGAGGAGAAUUAAGAUGAGGUUUUGAAGACCGUAGAACCCCGAAUUGGGUUCUAAAAUACAAGAUGACCUUUCGGGUCAUGACCUUUCGGGUAAUCACAUUCUCCACCUCUAAAACAACUAUUCGUCCUCGAACGGACAUAGAAAAGUACCUGAGCUAGGGAAAAGAUGGGGAUAUCUGCACUGCAUGUCGGACUCAGACUCCCAGAUGGUUGCCUCAACAGGCUGACCUCUCCACUGCACACGAACCGAAGGAUAACUCUUCAACCUCAACUAACGAACCUGCCGGUCUAGAAUAGCUACCUGCUCCUCCUCGUAGGUAAGGUUGUGCAUAAUUUGGUAAAUACCGAAUUACCAUGCCGAAACCGAAAAUUUUGGUAUUUGGUAUACGGUAUUUUGUAUGGUAUUUGGUUUAUGUUUUUAAAAAAAAUGGUAUUAGGUAUGGUAUUUAGUAUUUAAAAAUAAAAUACCAAAAUACCGAUACCGUACCGAAAUAUAUAUUAUAUUACACAAAACAUAUAUUAUCAAUUAUAACACAAAUAUUAAAAAUCUAAAAUUUUACUUUCCUCUAUUCUCUAAGUUCAUCAAUUAACUCUAAACAAGUAACAAGACGUUUCUAAUGAUAAAAUAUUCUUUUAUGUACAAUUUUCUCAAUUUGGGUCGAUAUUUACUAGUUUUGGACAAAAUUUUGUCAACAAACAUUUUCAGUUUUGUAUUUUUGAGUAUUUUAAUUAAGAAUAUUAGAGUUUAUAGCUCUAUGCACUAGUUAGUAUUCAAACCGAAUAAACCGAAGUUACCGAACCGAAUAAAUCGAAACCGAAAGGAGAAAAACCAAACCAUACCAAAUUUAAUUAGGCACGGUAUUGGUAUAGGAUUUUAAGAAACCGAAUACCGAAAAUACCAAACCGAAAUGUUUAAAUAUCAUACUGUAUCGACCGACGAACACCCCUACUCAUAGGUCAAAUCCUUGUCCAGUUGGACAGUGCUUAAAUCUAACACGUGGGAUGGAUCGCCAUAAUACUUCUGAAGCUUGGACACAUGAAACGCUAGGUGUACUACUGAUAAACCUGGUGGCAACGCAAGUUUAUAGGUCACCUCUCCCACUCGAUCCAUCCUUUUUCUUUACAAACAACACUGGUGCACCCCAAGGCAAUACGCUAGGCCUAAUGAAGCCCUUAUCAAGCAAAUAUUGCAAUUUCUCCUUCAAUUCUUUCAACUCUGGCGGGGUCAUACGGUAUGACGGAAUAGAAAUAGGUUGAGUGCCCGAAGCCAAAUUAAUGCAAAAGUCAAUAUUCCAGUCGGGCGGCAUCCCCGGCAGGUCUGCAAGAAAUACCUCUGAAAACUCACGAACAAUUGGUACGAAAUUCAUGGAAGGAACCUCCGCACUGGAAUCACGAACAUAAGCCAAAUAAACCAGACACCCCUUCUCGACCAUACGCCAAGCCUUCACAUAAGAAUAAUCCUACUGGUAAAAUGACCAAGAGUCCUCCACUCCAAUCGAGGCAACCCCGACAAGGCUAAGGUCACAUUCUUGGCAUGACAGUCUAAUAUAGCAUGAUAAGGUGACAGCCAAUCCAUCCCCAAAAUAACAUUGAAGUCAACCAUAUCGAGAAGUAGGAGAUCUACGCUGGUCUCAAGAUCCCCCAAUAAUAACCAUACAUGAGCGAUAGACACGAUCUACAAUAAUAGAAUCACAAACCGGUGUGGACACAUACACAGGAGCACUAAAAGAAUCACGAGGCACAACCAAACAUGAAGCAAAGUAAGAUGAUACAUACGAAUAAGUAGAUCCCAGGUCAAAUAAUACUGAGGCAUCCCUACUGCAAACUGAAACCGUACCUGUGAUAACGGCAUCGGAUGCCUCAGCCUCAGGCCUGGCUGGAAAAGCAUAACAUCGGGGAUGGGCCCCACCACUCUGAACUACAUCCAUGGGACGGCCUCCUGCUGGCUGGCCCCCACCUCUAGCGGUCUGACCUUCACCUUUAAUACCUCGACCUCUACCUCUACAUGUUUGACCCCUACCUCUACCUAAUUGAGCAGGCGGUGGAACACCCGGUGCCGGGACCAUGGAACGAGAACCCUAAUGUUGAGAACUGCUCGAUGUUCGAGGGCAAUACCUAGAAAUAUGCCUCGGAUCGCCACAAGUAUAACAAGACCUCAGCUGCUGAGGCUGCUGACCCUGAAACUGACCUUGACGACCUGGAUAACCACCCUGAAAACUCUUGAGCGGAGGUGCACUGAUAGGAGCUGAUGGUGCACUGUAGGCUAGCUGAUCAGAAUACUGCAUAUGAGAGCCAUGGCCACUUAAAGCAUCGUGAAAAGCCUGAAGUGCUGAAUGAAACGGCCUAAGAGGAUGGCAUCUACCAAAAGAAUCCCUACCUCAAGAUGAGGCACCACUAAACCUAUUAGAAUGACGAGGCCUCUUGUCAGAACCCUGACCACUUCCCUGAGCUAAAACCAUCUCAACUCGCCUGGUCACAUUGGCCGCAUCCUGGAAAGAAAUCUCGCUCUCUAUCUCCUUAGCCAUCUGCAAUCUGAUAGGCUGAGCGAGUCCCUCAAUAAACAUCUUCACCCUCUCUCGGUAAGAAGUAUAAGAAGAGCAUGACGGGCCAAAUCAACAAACCUAAUCUCGUACUGAGUGACAGUCAUAGAACUCUACUGAAGAUGCUCGAACCGCCUACGAUAGUCCUGUCUCUGCGUAACAAGAAGGAACUUCUCGAGAAAUAGCUGAAAGAACUGGUCUCAAGUCAAGGCAGGCGACCCAGCUAGUCUAGUCAACAAAAAAUCAUUCCACCAUCUCUUGGCGGACCUUAUCAUCUGGAAUACAGAAAAGUUGACUCUAUUAGUCUCCACUAUCCCCAUGUUCCGCAAUACAUCAUGGCAGCGGUCAAGAUAAUCUUGUGGGUCCUCAGAAGCUGCCCCACUGUAAUGAACCGGGAAAAGCUUGGUGAACUUGUCCAACCUCAACAAAGCCUCAGAAGACAUGACUGAUCCACCAGCGGCCUAUGCCGCAAUAGCUGGUUGAGUUGUCGGAGUCUGAAACUGAGGAACCAUCUGCUCCGAAGUGUGGGUAGCGAGAGUCUAGAUCCUCCCUCAGCCUGAGAGACUGCUGGUGCUACAGGAAAUGUGCCAGUCUGAGCUACGCUCUCCAUAAGGCACUAGACGGACCAAAGCAUCCUGAAGUACCGAGGUGGCGAUGAACCCCUCGGGAACCUGAGCUGGCCCUGCCGGAAUGGUCUGACCCGGAACCUCAUCAUGGAACUCCACCUGAGGCUCCGUUACUGGUGUUGCUGCUCGAGCUCUAGCCUGAGCCCUGCCCCUACCUCGGCCUCUGGCACGGCCUCAGCCUCUGCCCCUCGUAGGAGCUUCCACUGGGGGCUUGAGCUACUGAUCAGUUGAUAAAGAGGUACGUGUUCUCGCCACCUGCAAAAGAACAAGAGUAUAAAGUUCGAUUAGCAUUGAGAAAUCAAAUCGCACGACAGAGAAGAAUAGAAGUGAAGUUGUUCCUAAGCUCUAUAACUUCUAACGGAUAAGCACAGACGUCUCCAUACCGAUCCCUCGGACUCUACCUAGCUUGUUCGUGAAUUGUGAAACCUAUACAACUUAGUACUCUGAUACCAACUUGUCACGACCUGGAUAUCCCUACCGUCAGGAUCGUGAUGGCGCCUAACUCUUCGAAAUGCUAGGCAAUCCAACACAUAAAGAUCUAAUAUGCUAACCGCUAUCCAAAACAGUAAAUAACAAUAAUUAAGCCAAAACGAAGUGAAGAAGAGCAAAAAAUUUAUAAUAAUUCAAAAAUUACUGCACGAUUAUCCAAAAAUCUGCUCUCGCAAUCCACGAACUUCUAAGAGUCACUACAAAUACUAGUUUUAAGAAAAUACAUUUGUUCUCGAAAUAAAAGAAAACAGGGAAACUAGGAUAACUGGAAGAGGACUCAAGGGUUUGCGAACGCCGGCAAAUCUACCUUGGGUCUCCUAUGGACUGAAGGCAGCGAACCAACUCUAAUCAAUGCGGUCCAAUACCAGAAUCUGCACAAAAAAUGCAGGGUACAGUAUCCGUACAACCGACCCCAUGUACUGGUAAGUGUCUAGCCUAACCUCGGUGAAGUAAAGACAAGGCUAGGACACGACAAUAACAUGAACUUGUGCAGUUAAAUCAUAUAUGAGAAGAUAACAACAAAUGGAAAUUUAACAGAUAUUAACGGGAAGGUGGAGAAACAUGCUGAGGGGAAUAUCAAUUCUUGAAAUAGUACAAUAAAGAAACGCAGUAAAUAACAUGCCUUACACCUAUGAAAGUAAUAAAACGGCAAACAAGUGUGUGGCAUCACCCUUCGUGUUUUUACUAUCAUUCUCACCAUAAGAAGCAACAGAAACGGCAUGACAUCACCCUUCGUGCAUUAGCUCGCUCAUAACAUGGCAUGACAUCGCCCUUCGUGCAUUAACUCUCUCAUAAAAUACGGCACGGCAUCGCCCUUCGAGCAUUAUCACUCACAGAAUAUGGCACGGCAUCACCCAUCGUGCAUUAUCACUCACAAUACAUUGCACAGUAUCACCCUUCGUGUUUUACACUCUUCCUCACCCAAACAACAGAACAAUAACAACCCGACAAUGGAAUUAUCAAUAACCAACCUCGUUUCAAUAUUUAACUUUCACAAUAUAAAUCUCAACUUUAGUCAAUACUCAACCAAUAUCUAAUUCCACGAAAAACAUGAUAAGAUUUGUUUAACAUGAAGAAUAACCAGUUUAAGCAUGAACAGUACAAAUAAAGAAUACAACAGUCACAAGUAAUAGACUCACUCGCAUGCUAUGACUCGAUGACAACGUAUACGUACUCCUCACCUCACCUAUAUGUCGUACUCAACAACCAAACACAUAGCAAAUAAGGCAACAACACUUAAUCCCUCAAGCUAAGGUUAGCCACAACACUUACCUCGAUUCCACGACCGAACUCAAGCCUCUAUCACUGUUUUCCCUUAGUUUCCACCUCUGAACCACUCGUAUCUAGUCAUAAUUAACUUUAUAAUAUCAAUUAUCGCUAAAGAAAGCAAUCCCAAUGCACAAUUACAAGCUUCCCAACAUUUUUCCCAAAAAGUCAAAAACCGACCUCGGGCCCGCUUGGUGAAAAUUCGAGGUUCGGACCAAAACUCAUUCACCCAUUCAUCCCCGAGCCCAAAUAUGUAAUUAGAUUUGGAAUCCGACCCCAAAUCGAGGUCUAAAUUUCAAUUAUACAAAAAUCUCUAAUUCUACCCCAACACUCAAUUUCUACCAACACUUUGGGGAAGAAUUUGUCUCUUGAAAAUCACCUCUAAACCUUCUAGUUUUUGAAAAUAUGGAUGAAUGGCCUAAUCCCGUUUUUGGUUCUGUUUUUAAAACACUGGACAGGUCUUCAUCGCGUUCAUGAUGCAUUGCGGCCAGAAGGGCCUUCGCGUUCGCGAAGAGCUGCUCGCGUUCAUGAUGGUCUGUCCCCCUGACCAUCGCGUUCCAGGGCUAGGACUGUGUUCGCGAAGAGCAACUCAAUGAUUCCCCAGCCUACCUCCAUUUUACUGUACGCGUUCGUGUAAUGCUGGUCGCGUUCGCGACCAUGGCUAUGUGUUCGCGAUGAACAAUCCCCUCCCCAAGCCAGGUUACACUUCGCAUUCGUGAGAGUAUCUUCGUGAACGCGAAGAAGAAAAACCAAAAACACUAACUGCAGCAAAACACACCAGAUUUCUAAGUGCAAAUCACCCUGUAGCCUAUCCGAAACUCACCCGAGCCCUCGGGGCUCCAAACCAAACAUGCACACAAGUCUUAAAAUAUCAUACGAACUUGCUCGCGUGAUCAAAUCGUCAAAAUAAUACCUAGAACUACGAAUUUAGCAUCAAAUUACAUGAAAAUUUCAAGAAAGUUCAAAAGUUCUAUUUUCUCACCCAAAGGUCCAAAUCACGUCAAAUUAGUCUCAUUCCUCACCAAAUUUCAUAGAUAGAGUAUAAAUAUCAUAAUGGAGAUGUACCGGGCUCCGGAACCACAAUACGGACCCGGUAUCAACAAAAUCACUUAUUAAUCAAUUUCUUAAAACCUUUAUCAUUCCAGUUUAAUAAUUUUCAUCAAAAAUUCAUUUCUCGGGCUAAGGACCUCGAAAUUUGAUUCCGGGUAUGCCCAGGUUCCAUAUUUUACUACGGACCCUCUAGGCCGUCAGAAUACGAGUCCGGGUCCGUUUACUCAAAAUAUUGAUCGAGGUCAACUAAAAUUAACUUUUAAAGGCAAAAAUAAUAUUUUUCUCAAAUUUUCACAUAAAGGCUUUUCGAAAAUGCGCUCGGACUGUGCACGCAAAUCAAGGAGAAAUAAGAUGAGGUUUUGAAAGCCUCGGAACCCCAAAUUGGGUUCUAAAACACAACAUGACCUUUCGGGUCAUCAUACCUGGCAUAUUGCAAUACAACCUCCAGCAAACAGGGUACCUGCAUAGCCGCAAUGUCACAUCAAAGAACACCUUAAAAGAGGGACGAAGAUGAGUUCUCUUAGAAAUUAGUUCCCCUAAAAGUAAAAGAUAAUAAAUGGACGCUUAUUAAAGACAACAUUUAUCUGCACCACAUUCUAUAUGCAUCUUUUGACAUUAAAGCUGGACAAUAUAUUUAUCGUCCUAUUUACAUAUAAUACACGAAAGACAAAGUGCAAAAAAAAGUAAACAAUGCCCUCAGGAUAAGUUUCUUUCAUCAGAAAGUAAACAUAUCCGAAAGACAAAGUGCAAAAAAUUCCUUAUAAAAAUAUUAUAACUCAUCUUAAACAUCGGUAUUAUUAGUAUACCAGUGUGCUACUCUACUUUGAUACUCUGUAAGUGGCACACUGCAUCUGUCUAAGUUACCACCUUGCUGCGAAGGUCAAUUCGAUAGUAUUACCCUUAUUUUUAAUUAGAGACAUUCUUACUUCUAUUUUGCUUUGCAUUCUCGGAAUGCUUAUUAAUGAAAAGGCUUAUUUUGUCAACAAAAAAAAGGAACUACCUGAGCUAUUGAUGUAAAGCACUCUAGUAGGGAAGAAAGAUCUUUGUGUAAAUGUGAAAGCUGCUGCAAGUUUUCAAACUUAAGAUCAGGAUAUAAUUACCAGUAAAUGAAUAAUAAAGAACAAUUAGGUAUUAGAAGCCUAAUAUUUUUUAAUAGGCAAAAGCAUUACGAAAAAGUACCUGUGAUCAUUAUUAAAAAAGUCACUAACAUAUAGAAAGAUAAGAGAACACAAACAGUGAAGUAAGGUAUUAACUGUACCUGAUUUAUCCGUCAAUCCCAACAGUAUUUUACAAUUUUCCAAUGACAUCAUAAACAACUAUAAGGUUCCCUCUGCAAUAUAUUCUAAAUGCACACAUCAAUAAGAAAAGAAGGCAGUUUUGUUUUACAUUUUGUAUAUCAAUACCCCCAUAUACCCCAAUGCUUUUGGCUGGUGAAGACUUAGUAAAAAAAAAUAUUUUUGUCUUUAUUACUUAUUUGCUUACGUCUUCAUUAAAAAGUUCAAAAAAGAUAGUGCACAGAAUAUUAUAAUCACUAAAAUAUGGAGCAUUUUAUAAUACGGAGUAGAGGGUUGAGUUUGGGAAUAAAAUCAGGUGAAGCAUUAUAACUUUCUCAAUACAAAAUGUCUGUGUAGCUCAAUUUCUAACAUGUGGAAGGUCCCUAUCUACCAUAAAAAAUUUGCACAUUCUACUGCAGUAUCAAAGCAAUCCAGUGCAGCUUUGAAGUUGAAACAUACCUGGUGCACGGGAGUAUGAGAAAUAACUUCACCAAGACUCAUGCAUAAAGACCUGGUGAGGUCUUGCACUUCUUGUCCAUCUCCUCCU
rnacentral:lncRNA from 1 species